UACGUAGGGUGCGAGCGUUAAUCGGAAUUACUGGGCGUAAAGCGUGCGCAGGCGGUUUUGUAAGACAGAUGUGAAAUCCCCGGGCUUAACCCGGGAAUGGCGUUGAAAACUGCUUGAACUGGAGGGUCGGAGGGGGGACUGGAAUUCUUGGUGUAGCAGUGAAAUGCGUAGAUAUCAAGAGGAACACCAGUGGCGAAGGCGAGUCCCUGGACGAUACCUGACACUGAGGCACGAAAGCUAGGGGAGCAAACAGG
rnacentral:rRNA from 1 species